AGUGAACGCUGGCGGUAGGCCUAACACAUGCAAGUCGAACGGCAGCACAGUAAGAGCUUGCUCUUACGGGUGGCGAGUGGCGGACGGGUGAGGAAUACAUCGGAAUCUACUUGUUCGUGGGGGAGAACGUAGGGAAACUUACGCUAAUACCGCAGACGACCUACGGGUGAAAGCAUGGGAUCUUCGGACCUUGCGCGAGUCAAUGAGCCAAUGUCGGAUUAGCUAGUUGGCGGGGUAAAGGCCCACCAAGGCGACGAUCCGUAGCUGGUCUGAGAGGAUGAUCAGCCACACUGGAACUGAGACACGGUCCAGACUCCUACGGGAGGCAGCAGUGGGGAAUAUUGGACAAUGGGCGCAAGCCUGAUCCAGCCAUACCGCGUGGGUGAAGAAGGCCUUCGGGUUGUAAAGCCCUUUUGUUGGGAAAGAAAAGCAGCAGGUUAAUACCCCGCUGUUCUGACGGUACCCAAAGAAUAAGCACCGGCUAACUUCGUG
rnacentral:rRNA from 1 species